rnacentral:rRNA from 1 species
GAUGAACGCUGGCGGCGUGCCUAAUACAUGCCAGUCGAGCGAACGGACGAGAAGCCUGCUUCUCUGAUGUUAGCGGCGGACGGGUGAGUAACACGUGGUUAACCUACCUAUAAGACUGGGAUAACUUCGGGAAACCGGAGCUAAUACCGGAUAAUAUUUUGAACCGCAUGGUUCAAAAGUGAAAGACGGUCUUGCUGUCACUUAUAGAUGGAUCCGCGCUGCAUUAGCUAGUUGGUAAGGUAACGGCUUACCAAGGCAACGAUGCAUAGCCGACCUGAGAGGGUGAUCGGCCACACUGGAACUGAGACACGGUCCAGACUCCUACGGGAGGCAGCAGUAGGGAAUCUUCCGCAAUGGGCGAAAGCCUGACGGAGCAACGCCGCGUGAGUGAUGAAGGUCUUCGGAUCGUAAAACUCUGUUAUUAGGGAAGAACAUAUGUGUAAGUAACUGUGCACAUCUUGACGGUACCUAAUCAGAAAGCCACGGCUAACUACGUG